GAUGAAGAACGUAGCGAAAUGCGAUAAGUAAUGUGAAUUCAGAAUUCAGUGAAUCAUCGAAUCUUUGAACGCACAUUGCGCCCAUUAGCAUUCUAGUGGGCAUGCCUGUUCGAGCGUCAUUUCAACCCUUAAGCCCUGUUGCUUAGCGUUGGGAGCCUACAGUACUGUAGCUCCCCAAAGUUAGUGGCGGAGUCGGUUUCACACUCUAGACGUAGUAAUUUUUUCUCGUCUGUAGUUGAGCCGGUCCCCUGCCGUAAAACACCCAAUUUAUCAAGGUUGACCUCGGAUCAGGUAGGAAUACCCGCUGAACUUAAGCAUAUCAAUAAGCGGAGGA
rnacentral:misc_RNA from 1 species